rnacentral:rRNA from 1 species
UACGUAGGGGGCUAGCGUUGUCCGGAUUUAUUGGGCGUAAAGAGCGUGUAGGCGGCCAGGUAGGUCUGCUGUGAAAACUCGAGGCUUAACCUCGAGAUGUCGGCGGAAACCAUCUGGCUAGAGUCCGGAAGAGGAGAGUGGAAUUCCUGGUGUAGCGGUGAAAUGCGCAGAUAUCAGGAAGAACACCAGUGGCGAAGGCGGCUCUCUGGGACGGUACUGACGCUGAGACGCGAAAGCGUGGGGAGCGAACAGG